GAUGAACGCUGGCGGCGUGCCUAAUACAUGCAAGUCGAGCGAAGCGGGGACGGGUGAGUAACACGUGGAUAACCUCCUAUAAGACUGGGAUAAAUUCGGGAAACCGGAGCUAAACCGGAUACUUAUAGAUGGAUCCUCGCUGCAUUAGCUAGUUGGUAAGGGAACGGCUUACCAAGGCAACGAUGCAUAGCCGACCUGAGAGGGUGAUCUGCCACACUGGAACUGAGACACGUUCCAGACCCCUCCGGGAGGCAGCAGUAGUGAAUCUUCGCCAAUGUGCGCAAGCCUGACGGAGCAACGCCGCGUGAGAGUUGAAUGUCUUCUGAGCGUAAGACUCUGUUAUCUGGGAAGCGAUACCUAAUCAGGAUGCCAUGGCUAACUACACGCCAGCAGCCGCGGUAAUAC
rnacentral:rRNA from 1 species